UACGUAGGGUGCAAGCGUUAAUCGGAAUUACUGGGCGUAAAGCGUGCGCAGGCGGUUUUGUAAGUCUGACGUGAAAUCCCCGGGCUCAACCUGGGAAUUGCGUUGGAGACUGCAAGGCUAGAAUCUGGCAGAGGGGGGUAGAAUUCCACGUGUAGCAGUGAAAUGCGUAGAGAUGUGGAGGAACACCGAUGGCGAAAGCAGCCCCCUGGGUCAAGAUUGACGCUCAUGCACGAAAGCGUGGGGAGCAAACAGG
rnacentral:rRNA from 1 species